CUUUGAAAAGAGAUUGAAACUAGAAUUUGGGGCAUGUACCUACGUAGGAUAAGAGUUACUGGUAACCAAAGAGGCUUGCCACUUAGGGAAGGAGUGGUGAAAAUCAUCUUAGUACAAACGCGUUACCUACUUGUUAUUGUUUUAGUGUCUGGCAGGAAACCCGGAAUUAGUGGGAAAGUUUCUGAGUUAGGAAAGUACAGUCUUCUUGCCCCGUGCGUUUCAGUCUUAGCAGAGGCUCUGCACUUUUGAGCUGCUGGUGUGUUACAUGCGAGUUUCCAUCCCCGAGAUCAGGCUGUACUUUUCAAAUAGGAACGACUUCGUUCCUCAGUGACCUUACUUGGGAUAUAUCUUAGUUGGUGAUUGCACAGGCAUUUAACAUAAACCAUAGAAAAGACUUUCUUCUCUCGAUAAAUGCUUUGGGACUAGAAAGGUACAAUAAGUGUUUGAUAUUGUUCUACCUAAUGAUGCUUAAUUAAGCCUGUUGGUAGCUGGUAGUUUUCUGACAGCGUUAAUUAAAACUAGUAUGUCUUGGGGAUCCCUGGGUGGCUCAGCGGUUUAGAGCCUGCCUUCGGUCCAGGGCCUGAUCCUGGAGACCCGGGAUCGAGUCCCACCCACAUCGGGCUCCCUGCAUGGGGCCUGCUUCUCCCUCUGCCUGUGUCUCUGCCUCUCUCUCUUUCUCUCUCUGUGUCUCUUGUGACUAAAUAAAUAAAAUCUUAAAAAAACAAAAUAAAACAAAACAAAAAAACUAGUAUGUCUUCAGCCCAUUCACUAUCCCCUGAAUAGUACACGAGCCCAUGUAAACUUCUGUAAGUGGUUUGAGAGUUGUAACAUCACUACGGUUAUUGUUAUGAAAGGUUUUUAAGCCAGACUUUUUCCAGGAGUCCAAAGGACUCAAAUGCUUUGCUUUUUUAACGUCUCGGGGAGGUUUUCAUGGUGUAAAUAAUGGUGUGUCAUUCUGGUUGACAAGUAUAUUCUACGUUUAAAUAGCUAGGUUUGGGUAACUUGUUGCUUGACCUAUAGCAGCUUGAUUGAAUGUUGUCCUCAUCCAGAAGUGAACGGAGAUUAUUGGAAGAAGCAGAGUUCCACUGAAAAAGUCAGUUACAUUAUAGACGAAAAAUGCUGAUAUUCUUGUCAAGAAAAUGGACCUGAAUGGACUAAAAUAGGAUAUGAACGUUACUGAAUAUUCUAGUUUAUUUUAUCCAUAAACUAAUAUGUCAGUACUUUGACUGUCACCCUACAAAUGACCAGGGCCAUAUCAAAUGUGAAGGGAAGUUAGCAUGUGGAAGGAAGUGAACUUAAAGACUGACAAGUUCUUUAGGAACAUAAUAAUUUCUUAAGUUUUACAGCAAAUGAUGUAGAACUACUAAGGCAUUGUGAAAUAAAAACUAUUUUAUGGCAGUUUAUAUUGGGUGCAGACGUUUUUUAAAAAGUCUCGUCAAGCCAUAGCCUUAUUCUUAUUGGACAGUCCUCAAAAACUGAUUCCUUUUGGUUUACAGGCAAAAAUUCCAUUUAUACACUUUUUUCUUUUUUCUUGGUACAGGGGUGCCUAUUGCUGCUGAUCUUGGAUUUUAUUCUUCUGUUAAGGUUUUAUUUGAAUAGGUGCUUUUUAGAUAAAUUUUAUUUGGUUACCUUACUUUCUUAAGACUGGACCCAAGUAAAUGUUGAGCACUUUAUGGAUUGUGUUAGUUUCAAUUAUUUAACUUUGAAGACUUACAGAAUAUAAUGUGUGUUUUCCUUAAUCACCUGGAUUUUUUUUUUUUUUUUAUGAUUUUAUUGAUUUAUUUGAGAGAGAGUGUGCCAGGACACAAGGUGUGGGGGAGGGGCAGAGAGAGGAAGACAAGCAGACUACCCUGCUCCCCCAGCAGGGAACUUAGUCUUGGGGCUCCAUCCCAGGAUCCUGAGAUCAAGACUUGAGCCAAAGGCAGGCACUUAACCAACUGAGCCACCCAGGCACCCCUCACCUGGAAUUUUUUGAUAGUUUAUUUAUCUUGAAAUUAAUGAUACAGUGGAAGAAAUCAGUUUGUCUGAUGUCAUAAUAAUUUUGUCUAAGCUUCUCAGUUUUUCUUUGAACUCAUGGCUUUUCUCUGUCUAGGCAUGGCAUGGUCAAAUUAAAGAGUAUCUGAUACCUUAUCAUAUCACCAUAUUAUUUUUAAAGCAGUUCAGGAUUUGACAGCAGAACCAAAUACAUCCUAGCUCAUUGAAUGGUACCCUAGUUUAGGAACUUCCAUAUGUCAUUUGACCCUGUUUGUACAAUUUUUCAUUUUGUUUUUUGAAAUAUGAUUUUCCUAGCCUUUAUAGCAGUAUGUCGGGUAGUAUUUUUGGUUUCUUGACCAGGAUAUUUGCCUAAUAACCUAUUCAUUAGGUGACUGAGUUUUUGGAUACAAAUUAAAGGACUAGUCAACGGAUUACUGAAACAUUGAAAAGAAAGGAAAGCUUUUUCACUAAAAGUAUAUAUCUAAUAUACAUAUUUUUCUAUAGGAAGAAAGAAAUAUUCAGUUAUUGAGUUAAAAACCUUAGUGUAUUAAAAUUGGAAGAAAUUAUUCUGCCUGACUACUUGAUAAAGAACUUGAAAUUACAGAGCAGGUAAAUGACUUGCUUAGAAUCGUAAAGAACAAAUUUUAAACUGGUUAGGAUCUGAUGAUUUGGGAAAUGUUAAAGCAUUUGUUAGUCUCGUACAUGGCUAAUUAGUGCUUCUCAAAUGAGGCUAUUGUAUUUUGGUGUGAAAGUCACUGUCAGAUUUCUUUAGAAUUCUGUAACCAUAGCAAAUUCUAUUCUUUGGUUUGGAUGUUGAUUUUAUCAAUUCAAGUAUAUAAAUAGACUUUUUGGGACGGAGAAUGAGUGAAUGUGGUAUACAAAUCAAACUUGUUUCCAUCAAGCUAAUUUUUAGAGUCACAAUAUGCAUAACUAUUAAAGAUGAGAAUCUUCAGUAAUUUUCAGUCCCAGGAACAAGAUUUCCCGGAAUAGUCUGCAGGUUUUUUUUUGUUUUAAAGUCUCAGAGUUAAUGAUGAGUAUGGGCAACAUUGAGAUAACACAAGUGUAACUGCUAUGCAAAUUAAAGAAUGAUUGGUAACUUGCUUGAAGUAAUCCUUUUUUCCUACUAACAAGACAGUGUAAAGACAGGAUAAUUUUGGUUAGGUAAUAUAAUGAUUUAAAAUAUACAUAAAUUUAUUGCUGUAGGAAGUAACCUUUGGGGCAGAGAUAAUGAGAAUUAUAUCAAAGUUGAUUUUUCAAUGAUUUUUUCUUACUUGGUGUCAAAGGUUUAAAUGUUUUCUAUUUACUUUUUUUCUCUCAUGAUAAGUAUCACAGCUGUUCCUAGUGAAGGGUGUUUUUUGUGUAAAACAAAUGGGGAAUCUGUUGUAUGGUGAUUGAGUUCAUUUCUUGAUUAUCUAGGUUUUAGUGCAAGAUCCUGGUCAUUUGAAAGUCAUUCUACUUAAUCUCUAUGGAAACAUUCAACUAAAACUGGGCUCUCAUUUUUAGCAAUUAUUCUAAACCUGUUGUUUAGGUUUUCUAAUAGCUUUUCAGUGUUUUAGAUAAAGCUGUAAAAGUAGCAAGAGUGGUUAUGUUCAAAUUAUACUUCCUGAAAAUGUUAGUAUAACAUGAAAAAAUUCAUAAUAGCUAUUAGGUUUUGUGGUAACAGCUCUUUAUAUUUACUUAUGUAGCAUCUUGCAUUUUAUUUUUCUUUCUUUCUUUUUUUUUUUUUUAAACAGGACCACUGUAAUGUGCAGGAAUAGGUGAGACUUACCAUGCGUGACCUGAAUUUAGAUUUGAAGAGGGCUUUAUUUUUCUGCAGUGUAACAGUCAUUAAGAACUUAACUGCCUGAAUUCAAAUGCUGACUCAGCUAAUGAUUCUGUCACUUUGGGAAACAUCUGUGCUAGUUUCCUAUCGAUAAAAUGGAAUGUAAUAAGAGUACCUACUUCAUAGAGUUGUGACUAUUAAAUGAAUUACAUAAAUAUAAAACAUUUAGGACAGGGCCUGGCACAUAAGUGUUAACUAUGAUGAUACAUCAGGUUUUUAGACUGUUUUUUUUUUUUUUUUUUGAGGCUGUGAACAUUUUGUUUGAUUUGUCUAUAUUCUUGAAAAUUCAUGUAGCAAAACUCUUAUUGUUGCUUAUCAUUUUUAGGGGGAACUUUGGAGUUGGAACAUAUUAUCAUCAGUGCUUUGAAAUUCUUUAGCUUUGCCUGUAUUCUGGCCUAACUUUGUAAUUUCAUGACCUGUCACUAUCUCAGAUGCCAGACUUUUUGAAUUUGCUAAGAUGUUUUUCCUUUUGGGAUCAUUCUUAUAAUAUUCUUCAAAAUAAUUGGAAACUGUUUAUAUUCUUUGGCUACUUUAACUAGUCCUUGAGCACUUUGAAGAUAUAAGUAGAUUCUCAGUGUACUUUAAUAAAUACUACGUUCUUUUCUAAGUUAGAAGUAGUUGUAGAUCUUAGAGUUGUUUUAUCCAUACUCUUUUCCUCUCUUUGGUCCACAGCAGAUUUUCUAAUCUUGUAUUUGGAGAGUUCACUGUAGUAUAACACAAUACUAUGUAAUGGAAAAGACCUCUAAGGCAGAACAUUUGAGUUCUCUGGUACUCCGUUUUCUGACCCUGAGUAAGGAAUUUAAUUUGUAAUGCUGAUUUAUUAGUAAUAUGACCUAACUGGAUUUUUUUUUUUUUUAAGAUUUUAUUUAUUUGAGAAAGAGUGAGAGCUAGAGUGAGAGAGAGAGUACAAGCACAUACAGAGGGAGAGAGAGCAGCAGAUUCCCCACUGAGCAGGGAGCUUGAUGUGGGGCUCGAUCCCAGGAUCCUGGGAUCAUGACCUGGGGUAAGGGUAGUCACUUAGAAGACAGACACCCAGGCACCCCGACUUAACUAGAUUGUUGAAGAUAACUGAAAAACUGUGUGAGGGUACUUUGUGAAGUGUUACAGAUAAUGAAAGGAUAAUGGUGCUUUAAAAAAAAAUCCAUUUUGAAAAGGUUUAUGUUGUCACUUGUUACAAAUUGGGUUGUCUAUUUUGAACUUCUUAAAGUUGGGUUUUAGGACAUGCAAGAGAAAAUUAGGGAAAAGGCACUGGAAUUAUAAUGUUUGAGUUAAUAAGCUACAUUAGAAAGAUAAAUUGCUUUGCUCACAACUUUGUUUAGCUCUGGGAAAGUUAAAAAGCAAAAUUUUAAAAAUCUGGAAGAGAAUAGCACUCAUUCAUAUUCUAGUAUUGACAUAGAUUCUUUCUAUCCCCACCUUUUCCUAAUUGAUCUCAACUGGAUUAAUCCAAAUAAAAAUCAGUAAAGAAAUAAAGUUCCUAGUUAGAAAAAAAAAUUGGUUUUUAGGAACUUUUUGGUUUUUCAGUUUUAGGAAUUUUAUCAAAUCUUAAGAAAAAGGGGAGCAGAUUGAAGAGAAGUUGCCAGAAGCUCUUCUUAAGAGUUUUAUUAUUUGGGAGAGGGUGGUGUCUUUAUCAGGUGGCUUACUUAAUAUUGUGUGUACUUAUUAAAAGAUUGGUUAUUUGAUAUUCUA